CGCGUAGGCGGCUUGUUAAGUCGGCUGUGAAAGCCCGGGGCUCAAACCCCGGAGGGUCGGCCGAUACUGGCGAGCUAGAGUACGGAAAAGGUAACUGGAAUUCCUGGUGUAGCGGUGAAAUGCGUAGAUAUCAGGAGGAACACCUGAGGCGAAGGCGGGUUACUGGGCCGAUACUGACGCUGAUGCGCGAAAGCCAGGGGAGCAAACGGGAUUAGAUACCCCGGUAGUCCUGGCCCUAAACGAUGGACACUUGGUGUGUCGGGUAUUAUGGUCCCGACGUGCCGGAGCUAACGCGUUAAGUGUCCCGCCUGGGGAGUACGGUCGCAAGGCUGAA
rnacentral:rRNA from 1 species